rnacentral:rRNA from 1 species
GACGAACGCUGGCGGCGUGCUUAACACAUGCGAGUCGAACGGAAAGGCCCUGCUUUUGUGGGGUGCUCGAGUGGCGAGCGGGUGAGUAACACGUGAGUAACCUGCCCUUGACUUUGGGAUAACUUCAGGAAACUGGGGCUAAUACCGGAUAGGAGCUCCUGCUGCAUGGUGGGGGUUGGAAAGUUUCGGCGGUUGGGGAUGGACUCGCGGCUUAUCAGCUUGUUGGUGGGGUAGUGGCUUACCAAGGCUUUGACGGGUAGCCGGCCUGAGAGGGUGACCGGCCACAUUGGGACUGAGAUACGGCCCAGACUCCUACGGGAGGCAGCAGUGGGGAAUAUUGCACAAUGGGCGGAAGCCUGAUGCAGCAACGCCGCGUGCGGGAUGACGGCCUUCGGGUUGUAAACCGCUUUCGCCUGUGACGAAGCGUGAGUGACGGUAAUGGGUAAAGAAGCACCGGCUAACUACGUG